UACGUAGGGUGCGAGCGUUGUCCGGAAUUAUUGGGCGUAAAGGGCGCGUAGGCGGCCCGCUAAGUCGCACGUGAAAUCCCCAGGCUCAACCUGGGAACUGCGUCCGAUACUGGCAGGCUUGAAUCCGGGAGAGGGAUGUGGAAUUCCAGGUGUAGCGGUGAAAUGCGUAGAUAUCUGGAGGAACACCGGUGGCGAAGGCGGCAUCCUGGACCAAUACUGACACUGAAAAGCGAAAGCCAGGGGAGCAAACGGG
rnacentral:rRNA from 1 species